rnacentral:rRNA from 1 species
AGUGAACGCUGGCGGUAGGCCUAACACAUGCAAGUCGAACGGCAGCACAGUAAGAGCUUGCUCUUAUGGGUGGCGAGUGGCGGACGGGUGAGGAAUACAUCGGAAUCUACUUUUUCGUGGGGGAUAACGUAGGGAAACUUACGCUAAUACCGCAUACGACCUACGGGUGAAAGCAGGGGAUCUUCGGACCUUGCGCGAUUGAAUGAGCCGAUGUCGGAUUAGCUAGUUGGCGGGGUAAAGGCCCACCAAGGCGACGAUCCGUAGCUGGUCUGAGAGGAUGAUCAGCCACACUGGAACUGAGACACGGUCCAGACUCCUACGGGAGGCAGCAGUGGGGAAUAUUGGACAAUGGGCGCAAGCCUGAUCCAGCCAUACCGCGUGGGUGAAGAAGGCCUUCGGGUUGUAAAGCCCUUUUGUUGGGAAAGAAAAGCAGCAGGUUAAUACCCCGCUGUUCUGACGGUACCCAAAGAAUAAGCACCGGCUAACUUCGU